rnacentral:misc_RNA from 1 species
AGGAGUUCUAAGUUUUGUUCAAUUAAAUAAAAAUUUUGUGAUUUUGCUGUUGAAUUGUUUAUGGUGUAAGUGUGAUGAAAGUGUUCUUAAUAAUGAAGCUAAAAAGGCAAGACAAAUGGGCUAACUAGAGUGAGUGCAACUGUAGACUAAGUAGACUGUGAACUCAGAGAGAGGGUAAAAAUAUUUUAACGAACCUUUUUGGGUAAUUGUUUGGGGGGGAGAUGGAAAAUUGAGACAAACUGAUGUCCUGAAAACAUUACUUUGUUGUACAGGAGAGUAAAUACUUCCAUCAAAUAUGGGUGCGCCAGACAAACCUAUGUGUAUCUCAUAUUAAUAUAAUAAAUAAAUAUUAUUUGAAGUUAAUUUCAUUUUAAUUUGGAAAUUCCACUUCAUAAAGGCAUUAAAAGAUAACUUUGCACAAAGGUGACAGCAUUGCAUGUGUAAAUCUAGUUUAAUAAUUGUACUGUAUUUUAAUGGAAAUUAUGCUAUGUCUUUGAUAAUAAAUUGCUUCUACAAUUCUGUAUUUUAAAAAUGAGUGCUAGCAAAAUACAUUUUAGUCUUUUGUAUAUUUUUCAAGGCACAUGUUCUCGUGAAGGUUGUAAAAGACCUAGAGCUCGCAAUUGCAGAACUGGAGAAAUACAUGAAUUUUGUUCCCUGACAUGCAAGCACUGGGAAAUUAUAAAACCUCCUGAUUCUAAAACUUUUGAAGCUGGCAUAGAUCCUGCUAUGGACAUGCUUAUUGCUCUUGAAAUGUCUAAAUUGCAGCUGCUAGAAAAAUGCAGUGAAUAUUCAAAUGGAGACGAAAGCAGUGCAGUGGAUGCUACAUUUGGGAAUUCUGCUGAGUUUACUGAACAAGAAGGGAUAUCUGAAUCUACAAAUUUGGAAACUUCUGAGAAAUCUGCAAAUUUUUCUGCAGAAUUUGGACUUGAACAAAAUUCAGAUGUUCACCAUGAUUCGGUGCAUGAACAUGUCUCUGAUUCAUAUUCAGAUAUAAAAGAUGUAGAAUUGGUUGAGUAUGAUUCACAGAAAAGUGCAAUAAAUUUUUAUUUAAAAAAUUCAUGCUGUGAUGAUUCUAAAAACAUUAAUGUAAAUUCUGAUAUUAAUGAUUCUAAAACAGAAAAGGAACUGUUCAAAAUGCUGCAAAGGACAGCCGAAAAUGAAAACGAAAAUUUCACGUGUAAAACCAAAGAAGAGACACAUUGCAACUGACUUUAAACAGCUUUUAUCCUGUUUUAUAACCAGUUUAUCAAAAGAAGCAAAAUUUGUUAUGUAUUUCCCAACUUUACAAAAAUCAAUUUGUUUGCAUUUCAUGUUCAAAGUAUUUUUUUCAUGAUCAAGUCACUGUAGUAUUAUUAAUUUUUAUUUUACUGUAUUAAAUGUAGUAUAUUUUUAUUGGAUUAUUGUUACUUGAUUAUGAAAAAUAAGUUAUGGCAAUAACUAUUGUGUUGUAUUUUAGAUUAAAAGAAAUGUGAUUUUAUAGUUUAGAGUAAAAAAGAUAUGAUAAAAAUUGAGAGACCUAAUAUUAAAAUCUUAUGCAUAUGAAAUGUUAAGUAAUUAAAUUACAUUGCAAAAUUUAAAAAAAAUAUAUUUUAAAAUUUAAAAAUCAUUAAAUAUUAAAAUUUUGAGGGGUUAUUUAUUUAAAUUUUUUAGUUCGUUCUGGGAACAGUGUGCCAGAAUAUGUUUCAUGCUACUUAAAACAUGAAAUUUCAGAUGCAUUUUUUUUUUUUUUUUUUUUUUUAAUUAGAAGUGAUAAAGGACAGCUUAAUACAUUUGAAUGCUCUAGGCCUGUCUUGCUGAAAUUUCUGUUAUAUUUAUUUUACUUACAUUUCAAUUAUUCCUACACAUUUACCUGUUAGAUCAACUUUUAAUAACUUUGAUAUGCGUAUAUUUGUAAAUAGAUUUCACUUUAGAUUUUCCUGUUUGUUUGCAAUGUAAAAUUGUAGUAAAUAGAUUUAUUUCACUGUAGAUAUUUCUAUGUUAUUCACAAUUUAAAAUUGAAAGUAUCUCUAAGCUUCUCCCUAAAAUAGAGCACUGCCAAAAAUUAAAAAAUAUUAUGUAAGUGUAUAAUUUUUCAAAGUUAUUACUCUCUCUCUCUCUCGCUAUUGAGCAGAGAGGUUCAACUUUUAAAUUUAUAGUAGAACAUGAUGCAUAUGCAAGCUUUUUUAAAAAUAAAUAUGCUGAUUUUAAUUCAAACUGUUAAUGUAUGUUAUUUUUUAAUGCUCAGCAGAAUUAUUUGUAUUGAUGUUUUAUGUUUGUAUUGAUUUGUUCUCAAAAGAAACUAAUACAUAACAUAUCUUUAAAACUUAAAAAAAAAUAUUUAAGUGAACAUAAAUAUUUAUUUUAUUAUAUAAAGCACAAGAAUAUGAAAGCUACAAGAGAUGUCUGCUUGUUUUUAUUGUAUUCAAAGAUAACUGUGUAAUUUUUUAUAAAUCAUUUUUUGAGGAAAAUUUUGAUAGCAAAUGAUUAAUACAAAUUGCACCUCCUAAGUAUGCCAAAUCUCAAUUUUUUUUACAGUUUUAUUUAUCAAUAAUUGUUUUAUAUAAUGUUGCCAACUUUUAUAUACAGUGUUUUAAAGGAAUCAAUAGAAUUUUUCUGAGUACUUUGAUAUAUGAAAAAUUUGUACUUUUCUAAUAUGUAAAUGUUGUUAAUAAUUUGUUAAAAUAUAUUACUAUGAAUUUAUAGCACAUUCAUGAACAGAAGAAAUUACUAUAAACAUUUCUUGUUUUUUUCUAAUUCCUAAAAUUUUAAAUUAUAAGAAGAAUUAGAAUAUUGUUUUUCAUGUAGAAACAGUAUUUUUGAUAGCUGUUCCAUUUUUUCAACAUUUUUAGUCUCUAUUUGAUUUUAUAAAUCAUCGAUCUGAUUGUUAUUGGUUUAAGCGAAUGAAUUUUUGUUUCUGUUAUAUGAUUAAUUGGUGACACUCCCAUUUUUCAGCAUUAGAUUAUUUAUAUUUAAUUUUAUAGAUCAUUAUAUGUGAUUAUUAUUGGUUUAAGCAUUUUUUCUGUUAUGUGAUUGGUUUCCAUAAACUUUUUGUUCACACCAAAAAUUUUUUUAAAAAGUAAUAAUAAUAAUUUGUGAUAUCAAUCCUAUGUAGAACUCAUAAAUAAUGCUAAUGCAGUUUUUUUAGCAAUCUAAUUUUGUUAUUUUGAGGAUUAAAACAUAUCUCCUAUAUGAUAUGCAUUUUACAUUGGUCUGCUAAUCAUGUUUUUAUACCAUUACACUUAUUUACAUAUAAAUUUUAAAGCAGACUUUUCCUUUUCCUACAUUUUUAGGAGACAAAUACAGAUAAGAAAUCUUCUAAGAUGCUGUUUUAUAGCAUAUAAUGUGUAGAUUAAUUUUGAAAAAACAAAUCCAGCAGUUCUAGUCCUCUGCUAUAUAUUGCAUAAUAAUUUUAUAAUUUUUAACCCUUCUGCUGCAAAGGUUUCAUUAAGAAACUCCAAGUUUCCAAACAUUGCAAUGAGAAAGAGGCACUUUGAAUGCCAAAAUGCCCUUGGUACUUCAUACCUGGAUUUAUAUACUUUUAAUAUAAUGCCUUAAUUUUUAGGACAUAUUUUAAGAUGUAUGAAUAUAUCAUUUCUUAAAGAUGUUAUCAAAAGUACUCUUUAAGUUGUAUAUACUGGUCAGAAGGUUAAUAUGUAUAUUAUUUCAGAAUUUUACAUAUUUCAUAAAGAGUAUAUUUUCAAGGCAUUUUUAUUAGAAAUAUUUGUCUUGUAGUAUGUUAGAUGAAUAAUAUUUGUUCCAUGUUAGAAAAUUAUUGCAUGUUACUGUUCAAAAUUUGAUAUUAACACGUUAAGUAUUCCCAAGUAACGAGAUGUAGAUUCAAAAGAUUUGUAUGAGUAAAUGCUAACAUUAAAUUUUUAUUUCUGCUUAAAAUUUUAAAUAAAAAUAGCUGUUAAAAUACGGUCCUCUGUAAAGCUGUUAAAAUUUUCAAAAUACACAAUUCUUUAUGCCAAUUGAAGAUUGUAAGUUAUAAUAGAUUGAAAUAAACAAUUUGCUUUAUUACAAUUAUAAAACUGUAAUAGUAAUAAAACAACUUAUUUAUUUCAAUAUGUUAUAUAAAAUAAGUGCUAGGAAAUAUAUUUCAGUAUUUUCUUUAGCAUUUGAUUUUUAAAUUAAAAAUACAAAUGACAAUUAUUUGAAAAUCAAUUACUUUUCAUCAACAGUGAUCAUGUAAGCUUUGAAGUUGAUACAGUUUUCUCUAGGAGAUCAUGUAAGUUCAGGUGAUUGCCAACUGUUAGCUUUCAGGCCAUGUGCAAUUGAUUUUUUUUUUUUUUUUUUUUUGCUUGCUUAGCAAAAUUUAUUUUUAUUGAUUUUAUUGUAUAUUUUCAUCAUUCUAAUUACAUAGGGCUAUCUUCAUUCAAAAAUUAUUUGAAAUUACUGCUGUAAGAAUCUUGGAAGGAAAAGGAAACUGGUCCAGACAUAUUUCUAAAAGUUUGGUGAGCCUCUAAGAUACAAUUUGGUCAUUUUGAGGGAAGAGAAGUAGGCUGCCACUAAAGAUUAUGACAUAGCACCCUGAUUGUGGAAUUAUUUGUUGUCUUAUUUUUUAAAUGAAUUAAAGGAUAAAUUUACUGUUCCAUUUUCUAGUCUGAAGGUCUUCCUAAAGCAGCUACAAUUUCAGUUCUGUAUUUUGCUGAAUAAAUGUUGUUUGUUGUUUAUAUUCUAA